rnacentral:ncRNA from 1 species
UCCUGCUCCGCGAAAAGUCGCCCAGCGUGGCGGCCUGCACCUCUCCAAGUGAGAGUUCCGCUAGCGGAGUGGGUUACU